UUUAUGUUAUACCUUAAAAAGGGUAAAAAAGUGCGAAACUUAUACCUCAACAAGAAAACUUAUCCAACCACAGACUCACCUUAAAAUUUGUAUUAUAACAAAACAAAUAAUAAAAACCUAAUUUAUGAUUUCAAAUAUAUAUUAUAGAAUCCUAAUUAAUUUAUAUAUUUUUGCAAGAGAUACGGUAAAAAAAUAGCAACACAAAAAAUUCAUAAUUUCAAACACUAAUAUACUCACAUUUCUUAACUUUAUUGAUAAAUUAUGUAAAAUUAGCAAUAAGUUAAUAGUGGUGGAGAAGGAAUCCGUAUUAAAUAUAUAAUGUAUG
rnacentral:lncRNA from 1 species